GACGAACGCUGGCGGCGUGCCUAAUACAUGCAAGUCGAACGCUGAAGGAGGAGCUUGCUCUUCUGGAUGAGUUGCGAACGGGUGAGUAACGCGUAGGUAACCUGCCUGGUAGCGGGGGAUAACUAUUGGAAACGAUAGCUAAUACCGCAUAACAGUAGAUGUUGCAUGACAUUUGCUUAAAAGGUGCAAUUGCAUCACUACCAGAUGGACCUGCGUUGUAUUAGCUAGUUGGUGGGGUAACGGCUCACCAAGGCGACGAUACAUAGCCGACCUGAGAGGGUGAUCGGCCACACUGGGACUGAGACACGGCCCAGACUCCUACGGGAGGCAGCAGUAGGGAAUCUUCGGCAAUGGACGGAAGUCUGACCGAGCAACGCCGCGUGAGUGAAGAAGGGUGUUGGAUCGUAAAGCUCUGUUGUAAGAGAAGAACGAGUGUGAGAGUGGAAAGUUCACACUGUGACGGUAUCUUACCAGAAAGGGACGGCUAACUACGUG
rnacentral:rRNA from 1 species